GAGUUUGAUCAUGGCUCAGAUUGAACGCUGGCGGCAUGCUUUACACAUGCAAGUCGAACGGUAACAGGGAGCUUGCUCCGCUGACGAGUGGCGAACGGGUGAGUAAUGCGUCGGAACGUGCCGAGUAGUGGGGGAUAACGCAUCGAAAGGUGUGCUAAUACCGCAUACGAACUGAGGUUGAAAGUGGGGGACCUUCGGGCCUCACGCUAUUCGAGCGGCCGACGUCUGAUUAGCUAGUAGGUGAGGUAAAGGCUCACCUAGGCGACGAUCAGUAGCGGGUCUGAGAGGAUGAUCCGCCACACUGGGACUGAGACACGGCCCAGACUCCUACGGGAGGCAGCAGUGGGGAAUUUUGGACAAUGGGCGCAAGCCUGAUCCAGCCAUGCCGCGUGUCUGAAGAAGGGCUUCGGGUUGUAAAGGACUUUUGUCUGGGAGCAAAUACCCGGUGUUAAUAGCGCCGGGGGCUGAGAGUACCAGAAGAAUAAGCACCGGCUAACUACGUGCCAGCAGCCGCGGUAAUACGUAGGGUGCAAGCGUUAAUCG
rnacentral:rRNA from 1 species